CCGCAGGCCUAUAAAUCAGAACAAACUUUUACCUUUACAACAAAAACAAAACUCAUUUUACGUUUUAUUUUUAUUUUUAAAAAUGUAAAAUGAAAAACUAGUAAUAAAAGUAAGAAGUAAGAAAGACACCUUCAAUAACUCACCGUGCGUCCGCCAUGACAGGUUUGUUGACGCGCUCUGCCGUUACCAUGGUUACACACGCGCAGUGGCAACGUGCAGAAUCAGGUGGGAAAGACAUCACUACAGGGGAUAAUGCAAGGUUAAGGAAGUGGAGGAAUGGAAGGAAGGAAUAUGUAUGAUAAAGAGUUAAAGCUGAGCUGAAGGAUGACUGUUCCGUGAACUCUAACGUAUGGCGUAAGAGAGAGCAUGAAGAAGGCAGACCAGGGAGAGAUGUACAAUUCUCACAUCACAUUCAUAUUUAACGAGCCACCUUGUGAAGACCUCAUGCCCAGGAGACUUCUGAGCUGUUGGUGUAAGUGCGCUGAUGUCCUCACUUUCUCUGCUGAGCUCCUUAGACCAGUUUU